rnacentral:misc_RNA from 1 species
GAAAGCCAGAAAUUCGAAAGGCAUAUUGAAAAUAAAAGCAGCAUUUCGGCAAAAAGUUCUCGGUUGAUGAAAAACUUCAGAAAAUUGGAGGCAGCUUAUUUCAUGACGAGACGCAGGGUUAUUAAAAGGGACAAAUCUAUGAGUAGAAACUGUCAAACAAGUCCGGAAUGUAAAAGUUCCGCUACAGCUACUGAAAGGAGUUCUCUGAGUAAUUUGUCAUCAAAGGGAGGGUGCAAUGGUGAUAGACAGAGGGGAUGGAUCAAUUCAUACUUGGAGGGCCUAUGCAAGUACUUCUCUUUUAGCAAGUUAGAAGUGAAGGCAGAUUUAAAGCAAGGGGAUCUUCUAAACCCUUCCAAUCUCGUAUGUUCUCUCAGCUUUGAUCGUGAUGGUGAAUUUUUUGCAACUGCUGGUGUAAAUAA